UACGUAGGGUGCGAGCGUUAAUCGGAAUUACUGGGCGUAAAGCGUGCGCAGGCGGUGAGCUGUGUCCGAUGUGAAAGCCCCGGGCUUAACCUGGGAAUGGCAUUGGAAACUGGCUCGCUGGAGUGUGGCAGAGGGGGGUGGAAUUCCGCGUGUAGCAGUGAAAUGCGUAGAGAUGCGGAGGAACACCGAUGGCGAAGGCAGCCCCCUGGGCUAACACUGACGCUCAGGCACGAAAGCGUGGGGAGCAGACAGG
rnacentral:rRNA from 1 species